rnacentral:rRNA from 1 species
GACGAACGCUGGCGGCGUGCUUAACACAUGCAAGUCGAACGGGAUUUAGUAAACAGAAACCUCGGUGGAAGAUUACUAAUGAGAGUGGCGAACGGGUGAGUAACGCGUGAGCAACCUGCCUAUGACAGUGGGAUAGCCUCGGGAAACCGGGAUUAAUACCGCAUAAAAUCGUAGAAACACAUGUUUUAACGGUCAAAGAUUUAUCGGUCAUAGAUGGGCUCGCGUCUGAUUAGCUAGUUGGUGAGAUAACAGCCCACCAAGGCGACGAUCAGUAGCCGGUCUGAGAGGAUGAACGGCCACAUUGGAACUGAGACACGGUCCAAACUCCUACGGGAGGCAGCAGUGGGGAAUAUUGCACAAUGGGGGAAACCCUGAUGCAGCGACGCCGCGUGAACGAAGAAGGUAUUCGUAUCGUAAAGUUCUGUCCUAUGGGAAGAUAAUGACAGUACCAUAGAAGAAAGCGCCGGCUAAAUACGUG